ACGACAAUGUUGAAAAGGAGUGGGCAAUACUGAACUCAUAGAAUGAAUUGGGAAGUACUUCCCCUGUGUCUAUCUUCUGGAAGAGACUGUAAAAGGGAACAUUUGCAAAUCUGGGCAUGGACUGUGGACCAGGCUUGCCUAAGUAGGAAGAGUCUGCUGGGCUAAAGAUAAACCAGUGGAGCUUUUGAUUGCUGCUUUGGCUAGUGUGACAGUUUGGAACCUGGAAAGGCCUAAAUAUAGGGCUGCCAAUUUUCUCCCACUGGACUUUAGCUGAAUGCUGAGGCAUUUAAGGAUUGGAUAGAAACAUGCAAUGAAGUUCCGUACAGUUGAACAGUGCUUAAAAGUCAUAGUCCUGGCAGAUGGAAAGAUGUUUAAUAACAUCAGACAAGUUGUGCCCUUAAGAUCUUUGAAACCAGAGUGAAAAUGAGGUAAAUGCAAGCUGUAACCCAUCCCUGAGAUGCUUAUUUCUUGAUUGGAUGAAGGUGAUCCAUCCAUCACUCUGGCUGCCUGUACAAGAAAAAGGCUUGAUAUCUCUGGGGAAAUACACAUCAAAUUCAGCUUUUAUGUCAUUUUAGGAACAGUCUGGCAUUGAGACUAAAUUGGGUAGACAUAUUAAGAAGCAAUAAUAUGUGACCCAGUGCAUAUAUUAUUGAAAAAUAG
rnacentral:lncRNA from 1 species